UUUUUUUCCUUUUUUUUUAGAGAUAAAUAGCACGCUAUCCGUUUCGUUUAUUUUAUCUAUAAAUAAACUUAACUGAAAAUGUGAAUCAACUAGAAUUCGAACUUACGAUCUCAGGUACCAACCACCAAGCUCUUUGCCACUUGUGCUAGGGAUGGUCGGCGCCUCUACCCUUUUGGCUGGACACAACUGCAUGGAGUGGAGCAGAAGUUUAUUUAAAUUGCCUACAAUACGUCAAAUAAAAUUAUAUAUAUAUAGAGAGAGAGAGAGUAAGGUUACUAUAUUUUUAUGAGUAUAGAGCCAUUUGUACAUAUAAAUUAUUUUCAAUGAUGGAGUUUCGGAAUCGACGAUCCACACCAUUAAACAUGAUGUAGAGUGUUUGAAACUUUUAAAAAAUAAAUUUCGUAAUUGUUUGAAAUCAUAAUAAAGUCCAUCAAGUGCGUAUAAAAUAAACGGUCAAAAUCGAAUGACGUCCUUAAAAAUGGAUGAUCGGAUCCCUUAAUUUAAGAUCGAAGUUAUUGAUUUUUAUUUAGAUAGUGAACAAAAUUUUCUAUCAAAAAUUCAACUUCUUUUACACCGUUAAGCUAGCAAGUAUCUCAUACCGGCCGUUAAAAAUUAUCGAUUUUGAGAUUUUUUGAUUGUAAGAUAAAUAAUUUCAAAAAAUUCUGAAAUUUAAUUUUUGGAAGUUUUAAAUGCUCUAUAUAAUAUUUAAUAGUAUGGAUCGUCGAUUCGAAAGUUUUAUCAUCGAAAAUGAUUUAUGAGUACAAAGACAAUCAUACUCAUAAGAGCAUCAUAGCCGAACUCAUAUAAAACUAGGCUAGAAUACUAUUAAUAACACCAAGUUAUUGAUGCUAUUAGAUUUUCGGUUCGUAGAUAAAAGAAUGUGUGGUUGGGAUGAUAGUGGUCCCCUAUGGUUGAGUGGAUGAUUGGUUGAAUAGUAUAUUCUAACAGAUGAAAAUGAUUAAAGAGUUAAAUCAAACAGUGAAAAACUUGAUAAUAUCAAGUGUUUAGUACUAUCGAUAAUAUCAUAGCCGAACUUUCUCUCUCUAUAAAUAUAGAAUUGAGCUUCUAUAUUUUUAAAAGUACAAAAUCAUUACAACUUAUAUAUUUUCGAUCUUUGGAUUAAGAAUGUAUAGUUAGAACGAUAGCGGCCCUCUAAGGUUGAGUGGGUGAUUGAUUUAAUAGUAUGACCUAAUAAAUAUAAAUGAUCAAAAUGAUGAAUUUAAUGAUGAAAAAAUUAUAAGUAUCAAGUGCUUUUAACGCACUAUAACCGGACUUUAUAUACUAUUUU
rnacentral:lncRNA from 1 species